UGUAUUUAUAAUUGACCGAGUCAACAAUUCAAUGUAUUGUUCUACAUUGGCCAAACAGGAUUGAUAUUGAGACACUGUGUCAGAAAAAUAUAACUUAAAAAUGUAGGUUGUUAAUCAUACAUUACAAUGUCUAUUACAUUGGUACAUUCUACCAUCUCCUAGUAUCUAUUUUAUUUACUCUAACACCCUUUUUAACAAAUACAAUGGAGCUAAAGCAAAAGUUCCAUCAGGAAGACAUCACUCUAUGUUGGGUUCUAGAUCCCCGUGCUGUCAUCGCAGGCCCCUCCCCUUCCUCUCCCAACUAAUAUAUAUCAAUAUCUACAUCCCUCAUUCAUGCUCGCCUCUGUUCCAGCCAACCUCCAUCCUCUUCACCUCUAAGGACUAAGCUCCAUCGUCCCCGUGAAGAAUGACUACUAGUCUCUCCAGAUUGAGCCAACAUCAUGCCCUAAUUCCUACUUUGCACUCUGUCUUGUAGUUGUCUUCUAGAAAGUUGCUUGUGCAGCACAUUUGAUUCUAUUUGUGACUCUAGUAUUAAUAUAACCCCUACUUUGAGUGUUCUCAGCCUCACAUCUAGGUCACAGAGCACAUUUUGGCCAUACAAUUUGGGAAGAGGAACAUGAUGAUGUUAGAAGUUCAGGGCUCAAACAUUCAUUGCGGCGCAAUCUGUCAGAACUCCCUCUUAUUCCAGUGUUAUGCAUUCAGUUAAUCUUUAGGCUUACAAACAAAUAUUUCAAUGGGAUCAUUUUCAUCUAUAGGCCUACUUCAAAAAUAGGAAUUCACAGCUUGUCAAAUCAAAUGCAGUGCAGGCUGCUAAUGUUCAUUAAUACAAAUAUAAAUGCAGAGCCCUGCAUCAAUGAACUCCAAAAAACGUACUUGCAUCUGUGUGCAUUGUACAUAAGGAGCCUGGACCGCAGGUAUUGACAUCCAUUUUAUGAAAAUGUUAUUUGCAAAAAUGAUGAUCAACUUAGAAAUAUAGAUUUUGACAAACCUGAGUUUAAUAGCUGAUUAUUAGUGGGUAUGCAUUUAGAAUAAUUUAUUGUAAGGUUAGAAGGCCCUAAUGGAGCAGACACUGGUCUGUGUUCCUCAGCAUGAGAUGUGGUUGUUGAAGAGGAUGAUUUUGGAGUUAGCAGACAGCAGGGGUGUUACUGCCGUGGGUACAGGAGAUUGUAAAUAUGCUCCUGAAUCAUGGACAUAUACAUGCCCCAAACGAACAUGGCAUCGUUGACAAGGGCCCUAUGGGAAACACAGAAAGCAUCUUGAUGUCAGGUUAAUUUCAUGCAAAUAUAAUGACAAUUCCUUUUGAUAGGAUGCAUAUAGUUUGUUAAUUUCCCGUAAGGUAUAAAACAUGGAUGUAAUCAUGGGGCAGGUGUAUGUUUGUACCCACACAGUUCACUGACAUUCUUUCGAAUGUGUGAACUGCUAUAGGCACGGUGAACUCGUCCAUAAAGACCUGUCCAACAAGAUCCAGCCUGAUGUAUCUAUGGGAUGCUUUGUUAAAUUGGAUAGAUAUUUUGUUUCCCUUUAAUGUCUUAAAUGCUCCACCAUUCCCUAUCUCUAUUCAUCUCUGCUCUUCCUUGUUUUCCUACAUGAUUGAACAAUGAAGUGAACACAGCCUUGUUUGGUAAAAGACAGAUACGAUAAAGCCCUCUAUACCAGCUGUACACACAUUAAAGACCCUAGGGUCGGCUUCAGGUACAUCUUAUUGAGUGUUUUUUCCGUCCCUGGAAGGAGGCUGUUGGUUUCUUACCCGGCUUUCAGUCGUAGGUUGCCGCCCGGUAUGUCUUCAUAACAGGACUUGAUCCUGUCUAUGACCUUCGUCAGGAUGUCUGUCUUUUCCUCCAAUGCCUGCCUUGGCAAACGGAAGCUCUCAGCACCUGGACACAGCAGGUCAGCGGGGGUUAUUAUAACAAUAACAACGCCAAAGAGAUUCUAUUUUUCAGGUUAAGUCCAAAAUGAAGUCCAAUUGCAAAUAAUUCCUUGGCUGGUUGGUUUUUCCAAUCUGGCAGUUAAAAAUACACAAAUCUAAAGUGAUUUAGAACCCUAGUUGGGACCUACUGAGUGCAAUGAGUGUAACCAGGACGGUAAUGAUAAGCAGUUUGUUCAUGUUGUCGGCUCUUAACCUUUAGAGAGAGAAUAAGAUGUGAUUCAUUGUACAGACAUCACAUUAUCGUCCAGUUUGAGAUCUUUAUAAAUAUUCUCAGUCAUUAUACAAUUAGUCCAAAAACAAAUUUACUAAUAAGUAUUUCAACAAUUAACAAAAAAAAAUCGAAAAUAUAAUAUUCUACUAUUGAAUAAGUAGUUUUGCAAUCAACAAAAAAUGAAUACCAAUCCACAACAAAAUACCUAUAUGCAGCAAACAAAUAACAAAUACAAAUUCACAAAACAAUAUUCUUCACGCCAUUCAAUCUUUCAACAUUCCCAUGAAUUGAGUAGGCAUAUCACUGGAUGCUAAUGCGAUAUUGUUAACAUUUGACCUUUUCACUGUGACCAAGGUAGUGAACCAAAGCAAGGUGAUGCCGCUCACCUCUCUCCUUCAGAUGUGUCUGUGUGAUUCCAGGGAGCUGAUGGAUGCUGCCAGUCAGAGCUGUAUAUAUACAGCAGCAGAGUAAAUAUCAUGACUUUGUGCUGCCACUCUUUUAUUAUAAACCACUGAGUCGGCAGGUUGUCAUUGUUGGUUAAUUGAAUGCGCUAAAAUCUAUAAUCUUGAAAGAAAAUAGAGGGGGGUCUUCAGCAGAUUGGAUACCCAUUGUAUGUCCGCUGUUUUCCAAUUGUGUUUAAAUCAUGUCUCAGAUUGGUAUUACACCUUGGCCUGGCAUCGAGCACCAAGCCAGCUCAAUC
ensembl:lncRNA